rnacentral:tRNA from 1 species
GGAAGGGUGGCUGAGUGGUUGAAGGCACCUGACUCGAAAUCAGGAGUAGGCGCAAGCCUACCGUGGGUUCGAAUCCCACCCCUUCCGCCA